CCAGUGUACUAGAGCUAAUGGUAAUAGCACUGCUAGAUGACAGUGCUACCUUUUCAAUAUUACCAUUGUUAAUACUAUUGCUAACAGUACUGCGCCUCGCAGUUGUCCUCUUAUGUUACCACAGCGAAUGCUACUGUUAAGAGUACUACAGCACAGUGCCAGCCCUCCUUUUUCAUCAUGAUCAGACCCUUAUGCAAACUAAUGCUAAAUACUGGAGUGCUACAGUGGAGUGAGAGUAGCCUUCCAGAGAUCAGUGUUUGCAUUGUGCCGCCACUGAUGUGUGUGUGUGUGUGUGCGUGUGUGCGUGCGUGCGUGCGUGCGUAUGUGUGUGUGUGUGUGUGUACGUGCGUCCGCGCGUGCGUGCGUGUGUGUGUGUGUGUGUGUGUGUGUGUGUGUGUGUGUGUGUGUGUGUGUGUGUGUGUGUGUGUGUGUGUGUGUGUGUGUGUGUGUGUGUGUGUGUGUGUGUGUGUGUGUGUGUGUGUGUGUGUGUGUGUGUGUGUGUGUGUGUGUGUGUGUGUGUGUGUGUGUGUGUGCGUUUGUAUUCAUGACAUCUCAGGACAAUUUUAUGAUAACACACCUUCACAAUGAGGACCUGUGGAAAAAUGAGGACAUUUUUCGCGUCCUCAUAUUUCCACGCAGUCUACACUACUCUAGAGCUCACGAGGAUACUCCCACACCAAAAAUAAGUGAUGUCCUGAAAGAGCACAAUUUUCAGAAAUUGUGUGUUUAAGUGUGUUUAACUUUGGACUCACUUUUCAUUUGGAAAACUAGUGGCCAACUUCGGUACUUAACACACUUUUAACACACUUUCAGUGACGUCAUUGUGCAGGACCUCAAAUGUCAUCUUUUUCGGACUGACUCACACAUUUUCCCCGCCCUCGUCCUGAUAAGUCACAUCAAUUAGCAGUCACACAAAAUCCAACAUGUGAAGCAGCCAGACAAUCCUACUCUCAAACACGACCACGCGUGGAUGACCAUCGGGUAAGCAAUUCCUUUUCGUUUAUCUUACCGUAACAUAGAAGUUGUUCAAUAUAACCGUGUUUAACAGUGCCCACCAAAGGUAAUAUCAUUCAAUAAGACAGCUAGCUAGCUAGCUAGCUCGAUCGUUAGCAUGCUAAUAAGCUUCCAGUAAAAGUAAUGUGGACAUGUCCUGCAGGCAAGGUUCUGGAAAACCUUUCUAAAUCUUUAACAACACAGUCUGUGGAACUUGGUUUUGGUGCCAUAUGUUUAUUUCAGUGCAGUAUUUGUUUUAUUUGAUUGCAGUUAAUUUAAAUUAGUUAGUACAGGUAGCAUAAUGAAAGUGGGCCAGGCACUUCUAGCAUUUACGCUAAGCCCGGUGUAUUUACACUGUUUAUUCUUGUGCUGAAUCAAUUGUACACCGUUUCAAUGAAAAAACAAACAAACGUUUGCAAUGAAAUUAUAGCAGAAUUCAGCUUUGUUGGUACAUUUGGUCAAGACAAUAUUGUGUUACUCUAUUUUAAUUUUACAUUGUUAUCUGCCUGACAAAUGGUUUGCCCGAAUCUAUUAGUCUGACCAGCAAAUGUUUGAUGAAAUGAAUUUUUGUAUUUUUGAGGAAGAAAAUAAUAUUCCUUUGGCUCAGUACUUUUUGAGCCAAAAUAAGUGCUGCCAUAAUAUUGUGCUUGCUUGUCUGGCUGACUUCUUCUCACUUUCCAUUGUAGAUGUUUACUGGUGGUGAUAAUGUCACAAAGAAGAACCAGACUGAGCCCUGAAUCUGAGGCUGCUCCUUUUAGCUGGAGUCAACAAGCCUUGUUUGAAAGCCCAGUGGAUCAAUGAUUAUAAAGACACCAAGUGACGGGAUCUUGACUGUACCUUCUGGAGACCAAGAAGGGAGUGAGAGAUCCACUUCAUCCUUACAACAGACACCAAGUGACCUGACUGAACCCUCUGGAGACCAUGAAAGGAAUGAUAGAUACACUUCAUCCUUACAACAGACAUUAAGUGUUCCGAUCCUGAUGAAACCUUCUGAAGAUCAAGAAAGGAGUGGAAGAUCCACUUCUUCCUUAAACAGACACCAAAUGACAGGUACCUGACUGAACCCUCUGGAGACCAAGAAUGGAGUGAGAGAUCCACUACAUCCUUACAACAGACACCAAAUGACAGGUACCUGACUGAACCCUCUGGAGACCAAGAAUGGAGUGAGAGAUCCACUACAUCCUUACAACAGACAUCAAGUGACAGGUACCUGACUGAACCCUCUGGAAACCAAGAAUGGAGUGAGAGAUCCACUUCAUCCUUACAACAGACACCAAGUGACCUGACUGAACCCUCUGGAGACCAUGAAUGGAGUGAGAGAUCCACUUCAUUCUUACAACAGACACCAAGUGACCUGACUGAACCCUCUGGAGACCAUGAAAGGAAUGAUAGAUACACUUCAUCCUUACAACAGACAUGAAGUGUUCCGAUCCUGAUGAAACCUUCUGAAGAUCAAGAAAGGAGUGGAAGAUCCACUUCUUCCUUAAACAGACACCAAAUGACAGGUACCUGACUGAACCCUCUGGAGACCAAGAAUGGAGUGAGAGAUCCACUACAUCCUUACAACAGACACCAAGUGACCUGACUGAACCCUCUGGAGACCAUGAAAGGAAUGAUAGAUACACUUCAUCCUUACAACAGACAUGAAGUGUUCCGAUCCUGAUGAAACCUUCUGAAGAUCAAGAAAGGAGUGGAAGAUCCACUUCUUCCUUAAACAGACACCAAAUGACAGGUACCUGACUGAACCCUCUGGAGACCAAGAAUGGAGUGAGAGAUCCACUACAUCCUUACAACAGACACCAAGUGACCUGACUGAACCCUCUGGAGACCAUGAAA